AACGAACGCUGGCGGCAUGCCUAACACAUGCAAGUCGAACGAGAUCUUCGGGUCUAGUGGCGCACGGGUGCGUAACGCGUGGGAAUCUGCCCUUUGGUUCGGAAUAACAGUUGGAAACGACUGCUAAUACCGGAUGAUGGCGAAAGUCCAAAGAUUUAUCGCCAGAGGAUAAGCCCGCGUAGGAUUAGCUAGUUGGUGUGGUAAAGGCGCACCAAGGCGACGAUCCUUAGCUGGUCUGAGAGGAUGAUCAGCCACACUGGGACUGAGACACGGCCCAGACUCCUACGGGAGGCAGCAGUGGGGAAUAUUGGACAAUGGGCGAAAGCCUGAUCCACAAAUGCCGCGUGAGUGAUGAAGGCCUUAGGGUUGUAAAGCUCUUUUACCCGGGAUGAUAAUGACAGUACCGGGAGAAUAAGCUCCGGCUAACUCCGUGCCAGCCGCCGCCGUAA
rnacentral:rRNA from 1 species